GCCCUGCUGGCGCAAUGGUAGCGCACCAAACUUUUAAUUUGGGGGCUAGGGGUUCGAGUCCCCUGCAGGGCA
rnacentral:tRNA from 1 species